CAAUAGCGUAUAUUAAAGUUGUUGCGGUUAAAAAGCUCGUAGUUGGAUUUCUGCCGAGGACGACCGGUCCGCCCUCCGGGUGAGUAUCUGGUUUGGCCUGGGCAUCUUCUUGGAGAACGUAGCUGCACUUGACUGUGUGGUGCGGUGUCCAGGACUUUUACUUUGAGGAAAUUAGAGUGUUUCAAGCAGGCACACGCCUUGAAUACAUUAGCAUGGAAUAAUAAGAUAGGACCUCGGUUCUAUUUUGUUGGUUUCUAGAGCUGAGGUAAUGAUUAAUAGGGAUAGUUGGGGGCAUUCGUAUUUAACUGUCAGAGGUGAAAUUCUUGGAUUUGUUAUAGACGGACUACUGCGAAAGCAUUUGCCAAGGAUGUUUUCAUUGA
rnacentral:rRNA from 1 species